rnacentral:rRNA from 1 species
UACGUAGGGGGCAAGCGUUGUCCGGAAUCAUUGGGCGUAAAGCGCGUGUAGGCGGUUCGGUAAGUCUGCUGUGAAAGUCCAGGGCUCAACCCUGGGAUGCCGGUGGAUACUGUCGGACUGGAGUACGGAAGAGGCGAGUGGAAUUCCCGGUGUAGCGGUGAAAUGCGCAGAUAUCGGGAGGAACACCAAUUGCGAAGGCAGCUCGCUGGGACGUUACUGACGCUGAGACGCGAAAGCGUUGGGGAGCAAACAGGG